rnacentral:lncRNA from 10 species
GCUCCUCCUCCCUUUCCCCCUAUGUGCCCUUCUGUCCCUCCCUCCAUCUAUGGCUCAUGAUGGAAAGCCCCCAGUGUAGCACCUUGAGUGAAAAUAUCCCCAUAAAUCCUAUGCCCCAGCUCUCGGAGCAUUUGGAAUUUUGGCAAGUAGACAAACACUGGCGGCCUUUCCUACCCAGCAUCCUGGAAGGAGGCCCUGCUGGCCACUGGCGGGGCUCAGGCCGCAGGUUUCUGAUGGGCCCUUUCUCUGGGCACCUUCCCCUCCUAUUCCUAAGCACCCUCCCAGCUCUCUCCCACUUUUUUUUUUUUAAACCCUUGCCCACCCUUCACCGCUCUCUCAGAAGCUCUCUGUGAGUAAGGGGGAGAUAGAAGUGAUGAAAGUCCUUUCUGUUACUAGAGGAGAGGAGAAGCUCCGUGCAGGGGAAUCCGGGAUGCUGGAAAGCUGGGGAAUUUAAUACAGAGCUGGCUCUGCUCCAUCCUGGAUCUUCUUUAUGUUCUUUGACAAUGUGCCAGAAACCCUGACAAUGAACCGCUGUCUCUGACUAAUUGUUCUAGUGGAGAUGUCUCCUGUUUGACUUGAUUUUAAACUGUGGAGCACGUCAAGAGAAAGCUCACUGAUCUGCCGAGGGUUUGUGCUUUUCUGUCUUCAUGCAUCUGUUGUGGGUGAAGAGAGCAAAGAUUCUUCAUUCAAUCAAAGGCCCCCUUUGGAGAUGCUGAGAAGGAAAUUUCCUUUGGAAAUUCCCAAAGCCUCUGUUCAGAUGUCACAUUCUGCAUACAAUGGCACCUCCUAACAGAAGAAAUGAUGGCAUGGGCAUGCAAUCUGCAAAAUCCAUACCACAGGAUAUUCUAGGGGACAAAUGACCUGGCCAUUUCAACAAAAACCUGCAAGAAACAAAAACGAAGAAAGGAAAUGGGCACUGCCCACAUGAGUAGUAUUCCACUGUAUUCCACAUGAGGCUCUUAUGACCGACUUCAGCAGAAGGUCAGAGGAUUCUAUGAUGUUUGAUGGUGUGCUUCAGGGGAGAAGGGUUGGGGUCAAAGAGACCUUCCCGCUUCUGCUGGUUUUCUCAGAUGCCAAGAUGCUCUAUUUUGGGGUAACAUGUCCUAAACCCUAUCACCUGCCUAAUGUUACUUAUUAGCUCUCAUUUCCCCUGACACUUUCCCUUUUUGUUUUCUUGAGUAGAAGCUUCAUAAAGGCAAGACCUUCAUCUUACUCACAGCAGUUGAUUCUAUCACCUUGUAUGGCCCCUGACACAUAGAAGGUGCUCAAUAAAUUUUGUUGAAUGGAU